rnacentral:lncRNA from 1 species
CUGUAAAAUAAAUCGGUCUUAAUGAAUGGAUAAUGUGAACACCUUAUAAUGAAGGUGUUUAAUAAAUCGUAGUUGUGGACACCUUAUAAUGAAUGUGUUUUACCGAUUCAUUUAAAUAAAGUGGCAAUACCAAACGUCUUCUAAAUUUUCAUUUGAGUGUGUGUUUUUGUUUACAUUUUAAUAUAUCAAGAAGAUAUUGAUAAUGUUGUUGAUAUUUAAUAGGGAAUUUACAUGAGGCGAUUUUACAGGCAACUUUUAGUUGAAUGCAGCAGUUGAAUGGUGUAAAUGGCCUUUCAACUAAUCGCUUUCAAUGAAGUUGGUCAGCUGCCUACUUGGGUUAAACUUUUGUUUCAACUAAUCGCUGGUGAAUGUUGAAUCAUGUAAAUUCGCUAAACACUUUACAUAUAUUACUUUACUCAAUUAAACAAAUCAUAAUCUGUUAAAAUGCAUGAGUUUUAGUAAAAAAUUGUGUAGAGUGCGUAUAUGAAAAAAAGGUUUUUCACCAUAUAAGCGGAUAAAGGCGGAGCUCCAUAGCAUGCGUAUCCGUAUGCUUUCAUGCGUGUACGAGAUCUAAAAAACAACCAUCGGAUUUUUGAUACUGCCAGUCGAGUCGAGUAGGUACCAUGUGGACCUUUUCUUGACGUUCCCACGGCAGUUGUGCCUACGUUCACUAAAAUGGAUAAUCACCGGUACGUUAACCCACAGAUGUGCUUAGCCGAUCAUUAAAAACUGCUUAAUUUGCAUUUAAAAAAAUAAUAAUAAAAACUAAGAAAUUUAAUUUUUAAUACCUUCUCUAUAUGAAGUGGGAUGGCUGGCAGUUCUGGAAGCUGUCAUAUUGUCAGUUUUCGGUUAAGCAGUUUCGGUUUCAACUGGACAGCUUGCUUGAUCAACUGCAACUUGUCUAAGAUUGUCUGAAAAAGAAUGAUUAGCAGUAGAAAAAGCCUCUGUCAAAUGGGCUGAUGUAAAACUUCCUGUGCCUUGGGUCCUUGCUGUCAAUAAAUUAAAGGAGUCG